rnacentral:rRNA from 1 species
GCUUGCUCCCUGAUGUUAGCGGCGGACGGGUGAGUAACACGUGGGUAACCUGCCUGUAAAACUGGGAUAACUCCGGGAAACCGGGGCUAAUACCGGAUGCUUGUUUGAACCGCAUGGUUCAAACAUAAAAGGGGGCUUCUGCUACCACUUACGGAUGGACCCGCGGCGCAUUAGCUAGUUGGUGAGGUAAUGGCUCACCAAGGCAACGAUGCGUAGCCGACCUGAGAGGGUGAUCGGCCACACUGGGACUGAGACACGGCCCUGACACCUACGGGAGGCAGCAGUAGGGAAUCUUCCGCAAUGGACGAAAGUCUGACGGACCAACGCCGCGUGAGUGAUGAAGGUUUUCGGAUCGUAAAGCUCUGUUGUUAGGGAAGAACAAGUACCGUUCGACUAGGGCGGUACCUUGACGGUACUAACCAGAAAGCCACGGCUAACUACGUGCCAGCAGCCGCGGUAAUACGUAGGUGGCAAUCGUUGUCCGGAAUUAUUGGGCGUAAAGGGCUCGCAGGCGGUUUCUUAAGUCUGAUGUGAAAGCCCCCGGUUCAACCGGGGAGGGUCAUUGGAAACUGGGGAACUUGAGUGCAGAAGAGGAGA